rnacentral:lncRNA from 1 species
UGAGAGACAAGGACUGCGAACGCGGGCAGCUACCUCGUGAAUCUCCGAUACUCAACCACGCAUGAGAUCAACGUCCUCCGUGACCGGAUAUACCUGGAUCUGCAAAUGAAGUGCAGCGUGUAGCAUGUGUACAACCAACUCAGUAAAUAACAAAAAUAAAUAAGGAACUGAAAAGUAGUGACGAGCUAUAAAAUUACUGUUCAUUUCAGUAGUUUCAGCAAUGAAAGUAGACAUGAUUCAAUUCCGGCAAUAUAAAUUAAGUCAGUUGUACAUUUACUCAGUUCAGAUAAACCGGAUACAAUAUUUUUUCCAGAAGUCCAGAACAAUGACAUAAUUCAACUAAGUGCAGCAACAAAGGAAACAAAUGCAACCUUUGAGGGUAACAAUCACUCAAUCCGGAAUUACUUCAUUUCAGUUUCUUGAUGUGUUUCUUUCUAUACUAAUUAGUGUUCAAGAGAAGUAAGGAUUUUGAGGUAUUAAUAUAAACUUUGUGCUGAAAAUAGCUGGCCGGUGUCACGAUCCAAAACCCUAACCUGUCGUGAUGACACCUAUCGAUGGUACUAGGCAAGCCGAUUUUUCAAAAUACUUCAAAUAUUUCACAAAAAUAAUAAACCAAAAGCUUGAUAUGACAGAGUUUUCAUAAAGACAAGAGUUAAACUCAAAAUACAACGGGGAAAAAAGCCACAAACAUCGGAGUGUCACCAAGUCAUGAGCAUUUAAACAACCAGUCUAUGAAACAGUGUCCACAAGAGUCGGUGUCUAAAUGCCAAUACAGAAAAGAAAGAUAACAAGAAAGGAGAGACAAGGACUGCGAACGCGGGCAGCUACCUCGUGAAUCUCCGAUACUCAACCACGCACGAGAUCAACGUCCUCCGUGACCGGAUAUACCUGGAUCUGCAAAUGAAGUGCAGCAUGUUGCAUUUGUACAACCAACUCAGUAAAUAACAAAAAUAAAUAAGGAACUGAAAAGUAGUGACGAGCUAUACAAUUACUGUUCACUUCAGUAGUUUCAGCAAUGAAAGUAGACAUGAUUCAAUUCCGGCAAUAUAAAUUAAGUCAGUUGUACAUUUACUCAGUUCAGAUAAACCGGAUACAAUAUUUUUUCCAGAAGUCCAGAACAAUGACAUAAUUCAACUAAGUGCAGCAACAAGGGAAACAAAUGCAACCUUUCAGUGUAACAAUCACUCAAGCCGGAAUUACUUCAUUUCAGUUUCUUGAUGUGUUUCUUUCUAUACUAAUUAGUGUUCAAGAGAAGUAAGGAUUUUGAGGUAUUAAUAUAAACUUUGUGCUGAAAAUAGCUAGCCGGUGUCACGAACCAAAACCCUAACCUGUGGUGAUGACGCCUAUCGAUGGUGCUAGGCAAACCAAU